GACGAACGCUGGCGGCGUGCCUAAUACAUGCAAGUAGAACGCUGAAGAGAGGAGCUUGCUCUUCUUGGAUGAGUUGCGAACGGGUGAGUAACGCGUUGGUAACCUGCCUUGUAGCGGGGGAUAACUAUUGGAAACGAUAGCUAAUACCGCAUAACAAUGGAUGACACAUGUCAUUUAUUUGAAAGGGGCAAUUGCUCCACUACUAGAUGGACCUGCGUUGUAUUAGCUAGUAGGUGAGGUAAUGGCUCACCUAGGCGACGAUACAUAGCCGACCUGAGAGGGUGAUCGGCCACACUGGGACUGAGACACGGCCCAGACUCCUACGGGAGGCAGCAGUAGGGAAUCUUCGGCAAUGGGGGCAACCCUGACCGAGCAACGCCGCGUGAGUGAAGAAGGUUUUCGGAUCGUAAAGCUCUGUUGUAAGUCAAGAACGGGUGUGAGAGUGGAAAGUUCACACUGUGACGGUAGCUUACCAGAAAGGGACGGCUAACUACGUG
rnacentral:rRNA from 1 species